UUUUUAGACGCCAUAUUAAUAAUUUCAAUAACAGGGGUUGUGCUCUAAGUUACGGCGGCUCAAUCGCCACUAUUGUCUUUCAAUUAUAUUUAUUAUGUCCGUCUCCACAUAUUUCCCGCGACUAAUCCCGCUUUCCCCUAAUUCCUUCUUUCCCGUAAAUCUUUCAGUUCUCUCUUUCCCUUAAUCAAUCUCUUAAAAAAAAUUCUUCUCCACAAAUUUUGAAGUUCAGUGAAAGAGAAUACGAGCAGAAAAGAUUUCUUCUCUAUGGAACUCGUACAGGACGAGCAGCUUUUGGAUAAAAAACAGUUGCGGAAGCUAUUGGGAUCGACAUCGACACUAAACCAUUUGAUAUGAAUAGCUCUUAUUAGUCUAAAUUUGUCCUUUCUUUUGAGUAGUUUUUUUUAAAGGGCAAAUUAGUCCCUUUUUAGUGUUGAAUUACCUCUUAUCAGUGUAAAAUAAGAGUUCUCUACUGAAUUAUAUUUAGGAGUCAAUGAGUCAUUUGGUUUCAUGUGCAAGAGAGCAUUGUGUAUGUAGUUUAUUUGAAAAAUGAGAGAACAGUACAUGGUGUUGGUGAAACAAGUUCGAGUUGUUUAGAGGGUUUUGGUUGAAUUACCAAUCAUAUAUUUGAACUUUCCGUGAAAUUGAUUACCGAACAGAUAUAUAACUGACUUGUGAAUUGUGAUUACCCUGUUUAAACAGUUGUACAUGUAUUCUAAUUUUAUCUAUUGGUUUUGAAAAUAAUCUUUUUCGCUAUUUCAUUCAACUUAUUGUCUGCUAGCUUUUUACUGCUGAACUUAUUGUCUGCUAGUUUUUUACUGCCUGUACUUUUUUCAUCAUGUAUGUAGAGACGCCCAAGCAAAAUCAGGUUAAAAUCUAUUUAAAUCAGCCAAAGGGAGCUCUUCACUUGCUCCAGAGAAAUCAUCAUACGCUCAGUCUCAGGCACAAGCUUCAUCUUCUUCAUCUGAUCGAGCAUGUUAUUCCAUCUUCAUUCAUCAUCUGAUAGAGUCGCCUCUUCACUGCCUGUCAUUCCAUCUUCAUCACCUGAUGAAGUGGUCUCUUCACGGCCUGUUAGACAUAGACGAGUUCCUAACAAAGGAGUUACAGAUGACUCCGAGCCUCGUGAUUGGUUUGUCAUUGUUAUAGGCUCGGAUUUUCUUUAGGAUUGAUCCGCAGAGGGUAAAAAAUAGAUUGAUAAUUCUCUUAACAAAAAAUGGAAGGAAUUCAGGCUUAAACUAUGGCGUGAGGCUGAUGAUCUAUUAUUGAGUAGUGAAGAUAUCAUCAAGAAUUCUCCAGAGGAAUUCCCAUGGACCAAUGCGCACUGUAUGUUAACUACCGUUUGAAACCCGAAACAAAGUUUGUCUAUAAGAAGGUUAACUUUGGGGUUUUGCUGAUCAAAGAAUGUUUUGCUGAAGCUUUGGGGUGAUUUUACGGCUAUUGGGGGUUGGCUUUUCAGUUAUUUUGGUGCUGGGUUUCAAAGGUAUUUUGAUGGCCUUAUGGAUGUGUUUCCAGACUGUUUUGAGGUGAAGUUGGCAGCACUUUUUAGAUGCUGUUUCGGAUCUUUUUGGGGCUGUUUUGGCCCCCCUUUUAAACUGAUUUUUGGUGAGUUAUGGCUGGGAUUGUGCUGGUGGUUUUUGGUGAGUUUGGGGUUACUUUUUAGCUCGUUUUUGGAGCUAUUUUGAGGUCGUUUUCGGUGCUUUAAUGGUGUUGAUUUCACAGGUUGUUUUGCUGCGCAUUAACGGCUGGUAUUAUGGGUGUUUAAUGGAGAAAAAUGGUAAAGAAAUGGAGUAUUGUUAAUGAGAGAAAAGGGACCUUUUUGGUAGUUUUGGGCUGAUUUUGGCAGCUAUUUUCUGGUGGUUUAAGACACACAAUUUAGGAAGUGGUGCUCCUUCACCAAUUGGGCAACGAAGAUCCUUCGAUGGAAGUAGAUUGAGCGAAUUGACAAUUAGUAAUCGUUGUUAAUUAGGAUGAACUUUAUUUUUUGGGUAUUCUUGCUGAAUAACUUCGAAAGUAACAAUCUGGAUGAUGUAUUUUUGAGUACCUAUACUUUAUAUGAUGAAUAUUUAUUUGACUUUUUA